UUCCGCGAUAGCUCAAUGGUGGAGCACUCGGCUGUUAACCGAUAGGUUGAAGGUUCGAAUCCUUUUCGCGGAGCCAU
rnacentral:tRNA from 1 species